CCCCGCCCUCUGCUGCUCGCUGCCUCGCCAGUGAGAAUCUACUGUAAGUGUGAGUUGCUUAGACGAAGUCACACACUCGCGGAGGGAAGUAAUCUGAAGGCUGCUGUGCAUCUUGGAUAAGUGGCAUCCUAUGAAGAUGUGAACAAUGAAAUAAUAAGGACUCUCAGGGCUGAAGAAGUCGGAAAAGCGUGCUCAGAAGAGUCCCAAGAUUGAAGUGAUACACUGAUAUCUGUCAUCUAUCAAUGAGACAUUGCCACAGAGGGGGAAAAAAGAAACUAAAAAAAUCUCUAAAGAAGCAAACAUAGAGACAAAUGCAAAAGCUUGAGCCAUUGAGGAGAGCCUUGCAAUAAUGAUGUGUCUGUAACUAUAUUAAAGUACAAAAGAACAUAUAGCAGAAAGUUCAUGCUUCACUCAUUAAAUUGAAAAAGAGAAGGAGGAGGAGGAAAAGCAGAAGGUAAAGAAAAAAGAAAAGGACAAGGAGGAAGAGGAUAUGAGGGAUAAGAAGAGGAAGAAGAUAAACCACAUUACUACCAAUUUGAAGAAAAAUACUGACUACAACCAGCAUUUAAGACCCCAGGAAACGUCACAGUUUUUUCUUCAGAGAGCACAGGAUUUGGAUCUACCAAAGCAGCAUGGAUUAAUAUCUGAUACAUACAUUUAAUGGAAUAUAUGAAGGUAUAAAGUCAGCCCACACAAUAAUAGUUAAGUAGUUGUUGCCCAGUUGAAGUCUUCAACAAUACUUUGAGUUGCCUU